GCCCUGAUGGCUUAAAAGGUUAAGCCCUUGACUGCUAACUGAAAGGUUGGUGGUUUGAACCCACCUAGCGGCU
rnacentral:tRNA from 1 species